rnacentral:tRNA from 1 species
GGUGCAUAGCUCAGAGGUAGAGCACUUGCUUACCAUGUGCAAGGCCCUGGGUUCAGUCCUCAGCACCA